GGCCCUGGGCACAGCUGGUGGAGCAUGGCAGUAACGUUGCCAAGGUUGGGGGUUCGAUUACCACUGGGACCACCA